CAAAAUGAGCGCCCUCGGGCGUCUCACGACUUCUUCCUGUGUGAGCACAAGCUUGCUUUGGCGCCGUAAGGCGUCACAUUUAUGCAGAUUUGCUUCUGAUUCUGAAUCAAAAACAAAUUUA
rnacentral:misc_RNA from 1 species